GAGUUUGAUCCUGGCUCAGGAUGAACGCUAGCGACAGGCCUAACACAUGCAAGUCGAGGGGCAGCACAUGAGUAGCAAUACGAUGGUGGCGACCGGCGCACGGGUGAGUAACACGUAUGCAACCUACCUGUAAAUGGGGAAUAACCCGGAGAAAUUCGGACUAACACCGCAUAAUACUGUUUAUUCGCAUGAAUGAGCAGUUAAAUAUUUAUAGUUUACAGAUGGGCAUGCGUAUGAUUAGAUAGUUGGUAGGGUAACGGCCUACCAAGUCUACGAUCAUUAGGGGUUCUGAGAGGAAGGUCCCCCACACUGGUACUGAGACACGGACCAGACUCCUACGGGAGGCAGCAGUGAGGAAUAUUGGUCAAUGGGCGAGAGCCUGAACCAGCCAAGUCGCGUGAAGGAAGAAGGUUCUAUGGAUUGUAAACUUCUUUUGCAGGGGAAUAAAGUUCGCUACGUGUAGCGUUUUGUAUGUACCUUGCGAAUAAGGAUCGGCUAACUCCGUGCCAGCAGCCGCGGUAAUACGGAGGAUCCGAGCGUUAUCCGGAUUUAUUGGGUUUAAAGGGUGCGUAGGUGGGCCUAUAAGUCAGUGGUGAAAGUUUUCAGCUCAACUGAAAAAUUGCCGUUGAAACUGUAGGUCUUGAGUGCAAUUGAGGUAGGCGGAAUGUGUUGUGUAGCGGUGAAAUGCAUAGAUAUAACACAGAACUCCAAUUGCGAAGGCAGCUUACUGGGAUGCAACUGACACUGAGGCACGAAAGCGUGGGUAUCAAACAGGAUUAGAUACCCUGGUAGUCCACGCAGUAAACGAUGAAUACUAGCUGUAUGCGAUACACUGCAUGUGGCACAGCGAAAGCGUUAAGUAUUCC
rnacentral:rRNA from 1 species